rnacentral:rRNA from 1 species
GACGCUGCUGUAGGAUGACACAUCAAGUAGUCGGUCGACAGAGAGCUUUUCUCGGGUGACGAGUGGCGGACGGGUGAGUAAUGUAUGGGAACUGCCCGUGGAGGGGGAUAACUACGGAAACGGUAGCUAAUACCGCAUAAUGUCGCAAGGCCAAAGCGGGGGACCUUCGGGCCUCUGCCAUCGGAUGGCCCAGAUGGGAUUAGCUAGUAGGUGGGGUAACGGCUCACCUAGGCGACGAUCCCUAGCUGGUCUGAGAGGAUGACCAGCCACACUGGAACUGAGACACGGUCCAGACUCCUACGGGAGGCAGCAGUGGGGAAUAUUGCACAAUGGGCGCAAGCCUGAUGCAGCCAUGCCGCGUGUAUGAAGAAGGCCUUCGGGUUGUAAAGUACUUUCAGCGAGGAGGAAGGCGUUGUGGUUAAUAACUGAGCAAUUGACGUUACUCGCAGAAGAAGCACCGGCUAACUCCGUGCCAGCAGCCGCGGUAAUACGGAAGGUG